CUACGGGACGCACCAGUGGGGAAUAUUGCACAAUGGACGAAAGUCUGAUGCAGCAACGCCGCGUGGAGGAUGACACAUUUCGGUGCGUAAACUCCUUUUAUAUAAGAAGAUAAUGACGGUAUUAUAUGAAUAAGCACAGGCUAACUCCGUGCCAGCAGCCGCGGUAAUACGGGGGGUGCAAGCGUUACUCGGAAUCACUGGGCGUAAAGCGCAUGUAGGCGGACUUGUAAGUUGGAAGUGAAAUCCUAUGGCUCAACCAUAGAACUGCUCCCAAAACUGCUUGUCUAGAAUAUGGGAGAGGUAGAUGGAAUUUCUGGUGUAGGGGUAAAAUCCGUAGAGAUCAGAAGGAAUACCGAUUGCGAAGGCGAUCUACUGGAACAUUAUUGACGCUCAGAUGCGAAAGCGUGGGGAGCAAACAGGAUUAGAUACCCUGGUAGUC
rnacentral:rRNA from 1 species